AUUGAACGCUGGCGGCAGGCCUAACACAUGCAAGUCGAACGAGUGGCGGACGGGUGCGUAAUGUCUGGGAAACUGCCUGAUGGAGGGGGAUAACUACUGGAAACGGUAGCUAAUACCGCAUACCAUCGGAUGUGCCCAGAUGGGAUUAGCUAGUAGGUGGGGUAACGGCUCACAUAGGCGACGAUCCCUCGCUGGUCUGAGAGGAGGACCAGCCAACCGGGAACUGAGACACGGUCCAGACUCCUACGGGAGGCAGCAGUGGGGAAUAUUGCACAAUGUGCGCAAGCCUGAGGCAGCCAUGCCGCGUGGAUGAAGAAGGCCUUCGGGUUGUAAAGUACUUUCAGCUGGGAGGCGUUACCCGCAGAAGAAGCACCGGCUAACUCCGUGCCAGCAGCCGCGGUAAUUC
rnacentral:rRNA from 1 species